rnacentral:lncRNA from 1 species
AAAACCAGGCAGACGGUCAUUCCCGCGGACCAGGAGGAGGAGGAGGAGAGGCAGAUUGGGACUGAGAGCCACUCACCAGAACAACAUGGGGUGGCAUUUGGCCUGCUGACUUAAACGAACAGGAUGUUCACCUCUUUUGUCUACGGUCCUGUUUUCUUUUGCAUCAGUUUGCUGAGCGCAUACUCGGUGCGUCCCACCACUGGCACAAGAAGAAGAGCCGUAAACAAGACAUCCUGGAUAAGCUUUUCUGUCAAUGUGGGUUUGUGGAAACAGAUGACCUACAAUGGAUUGCCUGCAAUAGUUGCAACAAGUGGUUCCAUCAGGGAUGCGUCAACUCUCCAGCAGUGGACAAAGAAUAGCAAUGUGUUGUGUGCAUUGUCUAAAGUGUUUUCAUUAUUUUAUUUUUAUUUCAUUGUGUUGAAAUGCCCUUUUUUAUACUUUUAUUUAUAUUUUUUGCUGUAUGUUCAAUUGAUCUUAUUAAAACUGUACAUAGUUCCAUGUUGACUUUUUAUUAAAUUAUUUGAAUUAAAUUGCUUUUGCCUAAUUAAUACUGUAGCAUAAAUUGUUUUACUUAUUAUAUGUAUGUGUGAAUUAUAUUUGACCCAUAUUACAUGUUUGAUUUAAAUAUUGAAAUGUAAUAAAUCUGACAAUUAUUUACCA